GCAACCAAACGGCUUAUGCCUGGGUACGAGCUUCUGAGGGUUACCCUCUUCCAAAUGUGAUCCAGUCAUCACUCACCCUUGACAGGAAGAAAGUCGUCGAGUUCCCAGUUGCCUUCACGGAGUACGACAACUGUGAAAUUCUGAGAGUACCACAUCGCAAAAACGGCUGUGAACUGUGGGUGAAGGCAGGUCAAGAGAGUAAGAUCGAGUCCCUUUGCUUUUUUGUAUUUCAUUUGCUGUGUGGGCCGUCAAAGUAUGUUGUGUAUGACCCAUAUUACUGUAAUGGGAAAUAAAAGUACUUGCU
rnacentral:lncRNA from 1 species